CAGAAAACAACUCUCUAUGUAUUCAAAUCGUAACAAGUAUUUAUAAAAGUUUUGAUCUCACUGUUGCAGCACUGGAGCAGCAGUUGACAGCCUUUGCACGGCUGCUGGAGACCAAAAGGCAGCAGCAGCAAGUGUUGCUAUGGAGCAAGAGAAGGAGAAUCUAGCAGGGGUAUGCGUCAAGGAUAAUGACCGGGAGUCAUCACUUCCAUCUGACGAAUUCAGUGGGAUGGAUCAAUGGCUCCACGGCAUUUAUGGGGAGGGUGAAAUACCGGAGUGCAUACACGAGAUGGUGGAUUCUGAGUAAGCCGAAAAGCAGUGCCAUCUCGCCCUUUUGGAUGAGGAGGAGGAAAUACUGGAUUGUGUGGGAGAACUAGUAGAAACACUGACUGAACUGCGUAAUCCUUGA